rnacentral:rRNA from 1 species
GAUGAACGCUAGCGGCAGGCCUAACACAUGCAAGUCGAACGGGCGUAGCAAUACGUCAGUGGCAGACGGGUGAGUAACGCGUGGGAACGUACCUUUUGGUUCGGAACAACACAGGGAAACUUGUGCUAAUACCGGAUAAGCCCUUACGGGGAAAGAUUUAUCGCCGAAAGAUCGGCCCGCGUCUGAUUAGCUAGUUGGUGAGGUAAUGGCUCACCAAGGCGACGAUCAGUAGCUGGUCUGAGAGGAUGAUCAGCCACAUUGGGACUGAGACACGGCCCAAACUCCUACGGGAGGCAGCAGUGGGGAAUAUUGGACAAUGGGGGCAACCCUGAUCCAGCCAUGCCGCGUGAGUGAUGAAGGCCCUAGGGUUGUAAAGCUCUUUUACCCGUGACGAUGAUGACGGUAAC